AAUUUCAUAUUUAGAUUUUUUUUUGCUUUAAGCACAGCAAAAUUCCACUAUUUUAUUUAUUUUAUUUUAUUUAUUUCUUUUACAACGUUUAGGUGGAAAAGAAGGCAUUUGAAAACUUGUUUUUUUUGAAAAAAGAUUUAUGGCUGAGGCUUCUAUGACAACAGACAGAUUAACUAGAGGAAAGCACACACCAAACAGGAGCCUUCAGAAAUGAAGACUCAAAGACAGAGAUAGUAACUUCUUGCUGAGUCCUC
rnacentral:lncRNA from 1 species